CCUACGGGUGGCAGCAGUGGGGAAUAUUGGACAAUGGGGGCAACCCUGAUCCAGCCAUGCCGCGUGUGUGAAGAAGGCCCUCGGGUUGUAAAGCACUUUCAGUGAGGAAGAACGCCUGGUGGUUAAUACCCAUCAGGAAAGACAUCACUCACAGAAGAAGCACCGGCGAACUCCGUGCCAGCAGCCGCGGUAAUACGGAGGGUGCGAGCGUUAAUCGGAAUUACUGGGCGUAAAGCGCGCGUAGGUGGCUUGAUAAGCCGGUUGUGAAAGCCCCAGGCUCAACCUGGGAACGGCAUCCGGAACUGUCAAGCUAGAGUGCAGGAGAGGAAGGUAGAAUUCCCGGUGUAGCGGUGAAAUGCGUAGAGAUCGGGAGGAAUACCAGUGGCGAAGGCGGCCUUCUGGACUGACACUGACACUGAGGUGCGAAAGCGUGGGUAGCAAACAGGAUUAGAUACCCUAGUAGUC
rnacentral:rRNA from 1 species